rnacentral:misc_RNA from 1 species
AAGUCGUAACAAGGUUUCCGUAGGUGAACCUGCGGAAGGAUCAUUACUGAGUUAGGGUCUUUAUGGCCCGAACCUCCAACCCUUGUGUUUAAUAUACCAUGUUGCUUCGGCGAGCCCGUCUGUAAAAGGACCGCCGGAGGGUCGUCAAACCCCCUCUGGCCCGUUGCUCGUCGAUAGCCAAAUUACAAGCUCUUGAUUAACCAUGUCGUCUGAGUCUAAAAUUUUAUAAUUAAAAAAUAAAAA